rnacentral:rRNA from 1 species
AGCGAACGCUGGCGGCAGGCCUAACACAUGCAAGUCGAACGAAGUCUUCGGACUUAGUGGCGGACGGGUGAGUAACACGUGGGAACGUGCCUUUAGGUUCGGAAUAACUCAGGGAAACUUGUGCUAAUACCGAAUGUGCCCUUCGGGGGAAAGAUUUAUCGCCUUUAGAGCGGCCCGCGUCUGAUUAGCUGGUUGGUGAGGUAAUGGCUCACCAAGGCUACGAUCAGUAGCUGGUCUGAGAGGAUGACCAGCCACAUUGGGACUGAGACACGGCCCAAACUCCUACGGGAGGCAGCAGUGGGGAAUCUUGCGCAAUGGGCGAAAGCCUGACGCAGCCAUGCCGCGUGGAUGAUGAAGGUCUUAGGAUUGUAAAAUCCUUUCACCGGUGAAGAUAAUGACUGUAGCCGGAGAAGAAGCCCCGGCUAACUUUGUGCCAGCCGCCGCUGUAA